AGCAGCCUCCCGGCCCCUCCCCAGGCGCAGGCCCACCCCUCACCAUCCCUCCUCUUCUCCUUCAUACCCCCAGGAGCUCUGUUAGCUGCUGCUGGCUCGUUUAUAUUUACACAACCGGAAGAGUAAUGUGUGGUCUCUCCCAAACAGUUGGGUGAUCUCUGUAAUUAUGCAACAGUAGAAAACAGCAGCUCUGUUUGCAGAGUGGGGUUAUGAUCUCCUAGCUGGGGAUUGUUUACUGAGAUGAAUCUCACUGCGGGCUGGAUUUCCUUAACCAGCUGCUCUCUCUGCCAGGCCAGUCUCUUCCCUGUCCAUGUGAUUUUUCCUGCACCAUCUUUCUGGAGUCUUGGCUGUCCUGGACAUAAACCGUUUCCAGCUAGUGGUGUACACCACCUUCAGUUUUGCGGUUCUAAGGAGCAAUCUGGAAAUGUGUGCAGUUCGUCGUCUCUAGUGGGCACCCCCACUCCUGUGCCCCUGGGCCCUGAGGACAGGCAGCUACUGCAACCUGCCCCAUCCCUGCCCCUUCCAGUCCUAGAAAAAUCCAAGUGGUUGUUCCUCGGGAGAAAGCUGCCCAUCCUAUCCUAGGCACUGUGUUUCUCCAACUCAAUAAUGUUCUGAUAUUGUACAAUGCCACCGUCAGGCACAAUUCCCAACAAUGGGUGACAGCAGACAGGACAGGCCAAAUGCACACGGGAAUGGCAGCUAAGUCCGGGCAGCGGGGUCUGUCUGCAGAGGAGGCCUAAUGUUUGCACUGCAUCCUCACGGUUUGUCCUUGAAGAGGCAAAUUCUCUAGACAUUAGUUUGCUAUCUGAUGGGUGUGUUGAAGAAUUGUAAAUUGGUAGUUAAAGGGUAAUAGCUUUCCCUAGAGACAAAAGUCAUCUAAGCUUUUGGAUGGGAAGAGGAAGAGGGAGACUGGAAUGGCAAGCCCAUGACAGACACAGAUUGGGGGUCUGGUGCAGGAACCCGCAUUCUGUGUGACAGGCCCGGACCCGGGGUAUCCCAGGCCAGGAAGCCCACUUGGACAGAAGUGUCAGCUCAUCAGCCUGUUCUCAGGGCUCCACAGAAGUCUCUCUGCUGGGAGAUUGUUUUUAAUAAUAAUGGAAAAUGGGGCAAACUCAGACAGUACAGCAAUUGCUCAUAUUCGCACCACACAGAGAUUAAAGAGCAGUGAACAUCCGAGUUUGCUGCUUGGGACUCUGUUGAGCUUAAUGUGUGUUUGAUUUUUGAAUCUUGCUUUUUCACCCAAUGUAACAUAAACAAGCUCUCUGUAAACAUCCUUUUAAUGGAGCACAACCCUCUGGCACAGCAGCGGCUGUCAGGCUUCCCUCUUGGUGGGUGUUUGCUGAUUUCUCUCAUUACUGCACGUGAUACCCUGGUGACUGUCUUGCUCUAAAGGGCACGUCCCACUCCCUGCCAUUUUUUGGAUUGCAUUUGAGAAUACAUUUUUCCUCUGUGGAAGAUUACUAGGACAAACCUUAUGUAAAAUGGUGAAAAACACUUGAAAGAGAUGAAGUUUGUUUUUUUCCAGGACAGCAGAGGUCAGACUGGCCUCAGCCCCGACACCAGCUCCACGUACAGAUGUUGGGUUUUAGCGUCACCCGUGUCCCAACUCCCCUCCCCAGACGUCUUCCAUGGCUUUGUCCACUUUCAAAGAUGGACGUCUUGUUGAAUAAUAUGGAAAAAGUAGAAAUUGUGAAGGUUGCAGGCUCUUUCUUUCCUUCUGAGUUUGCAAAGACUAGCAUUUUCUCUGAGUAUUCUAAAGAGCGAGGACGCAUGCCCUGCUCAGUCCCUGGCAGUCUAAUUUAACGUUUGAAAUAGCUUCACCUAACAUUUCAACGUGUUAUGCUGCCUUAAGGUGGCAGCCCAGCGGCCACAGGAGGUCGGGACACCGGUGUCAGUGGACUGUGCGGGAACGUGGCUCUCACCACUCACUGCUGAGGGAAGGGUUCGUGCUCACCUUGAGACUCCGUUUCCACGUCUGUGAGCCCAAGAUUGUUCUGGUUAUCUAUUGCUUAGUAACAAAACCAACCCCAAACUUUGUGGCUGUAAAUAACAACAGCCAUUUAUUAACACUAUCUCUCCUAGUCCCAGGUGCUGGCGGACUCAGGUGGGCACUUAGGCCGCACUCAGGUCUCUGGUCCUUUAGUGGCUGCACUCAGAGCGGGGCUGGGGCCGGGGCUGGGCCCUGUCAAAGGCUCUCCCCUCCCUGCGGGUACCUGGGCAGGAAGACUCCAACAGCUGGGGACUUUUAGGCGCCUCUCUCUCUCCACGUGGCCCCUCGGCAUGGUGACUUCAGGGACACUGGGCUUGAGAGGAAGAUGGCAGGCUCAGAGCACACGCCCUGAGCAAGACCGAGCUGUGUGGAGGCCGUGUUCCCAUGAUCUCGCCUCGGGGGUGGGGCACGCCCAAGCCAGACAGGGUGAGCCCCCAAGAGCCGAUCAUUAAACCUUCAAGAAUUUUGUCAGCUGGUUAUUAAACACAGGCUUCAUUAAGAUUUAGUAAGAACUUACAGUUAAAUACAUCAUUUUAAAGACAAAGGCAAUAAGUUCUCAGAAUCUAUCACUUCCCAGUUAUUUUUACUAUGUAUUACCAUUACGUACGCACUUGGGGUUACCUACAUCUGUCGUAUCUGGAGGGUGGAGCUGCCAUAUAAUGACGUGCUUGGGCGCAUCUCUUCCCAACGUUGCCUUCAGUGACAUCACCGUAGUAGCCUGAAACCUACCAUGGGCAUAUGUACACCACAGGGAGCGAUGAGUGUACGAGUCAAAGUUUUAAAAUUUUUUUCCUGAGAGACAGUUGUCAAACAUUUACUAGUACCCAUUGGCCCACUCUCUGCUAGUUGGAGGGGCCAUUACUCCCUGGACUCAGGGGAAGUUCUGUGUGGAGGACUGUGGUCGUGUGGUACGAGCACACACGGAUGGGAUAAAUAUAUCGGAGCCGUCAUCUUUGGAAAAUACAACCUUCUGCGGGGAUGACGGAAGGAGUGUAGUGAAGAUUAGACAUAAUUUGUGGAAAGGGUUUCACUUAGUACCAGGGAUUUAACUCCUCAAUAAAUGACAGCCACUAUUUUUACAUACCUGCUAUGGUCUGAAUGUUUGUGUCCCCCCAAAAUUAACAUGUUUAAACCUAAUCACAAGUUUAUGGUAUCAAAAGGUGAGUCUUUGGAAGGUGAUUAGGUCCCGAGGGCUCUGCCCUCAUGAAGGGGACUGGUGCCCUCACAAAGGGCCCCGGAGCGCUGCCUUCCCCUCCUGCCAUGUGAGGGCCCAGCCAGAAGACGCUUCCUUUGAAGCAGAAAAUGAGCCCUCACCAGGCACCAGAUCCACUGGUGUCUUGAUCUCAGACUUUCCAGCCUCCAGAAUUACAAGAAAUAUAUUUCUGUUAUUUAUAAAUUACCCAGUCUAAGGUAUUUUGUUGUGGCAUCCUGAACAAACUAAGAAAAUACCUAAACAUCUCUAUUCAGUGUAGCAGAAAAAUCCCUGUAGGAGGGGCUCUUCCACAUGCCUAUUUACUGCCACUAAUGGCAUGAAUGUUUGUGUCCCCUCAAAGUUUGCAUGUUGAAAUCCAAACCUCCAAAGUGGUGGUACUGGGAGAUAGGGCCUUUGGGAGGUGAUUAGGCCAUGAGGGUGGGGCCCUCAUGGAGCAGAUUAGUGCCCUUAUAAAGAGAUGCUGGAGAGCACCCCGCCCUUCCCGCCUUGUGAAGACGCAGGGAGAAGGCACCAUCUGGGAAUGAGAAUGUGGCCCUCCCCAGACAGAAAAUCUGCUGGCACCUUGAUCUUGGACUUUCAGCCUCCAAAACUGUGAGUAGUAAAUUUCUCUUGUAGGUCCUUGGGAUUUUGUUCCAACAGCUGGAAGCAACUAAGACAGUAAACCACUUGAAGGAAAGGUCUGCAUCUUAAUUAUUCAUUUGUGUCCCCAAAGCCUUGCAUACAAGCUAUGUACUUAAUAAAUUUCUGCUGAAUAAUAAUAAAAAAAAAUUUCCUAGACAUCUUGAAGCUCACCUGAAGCAGCCAGUGGAGGCCUCAGUUUGUUUAAGAAGCUGGAGAUAUUGGGGCACACCAAGCUGCAAUACUUCCAGAUGCAGGAAUCUCCAACAUCAACUUGGGGAUGAUAUUCUUUUAUUGUGGGUGUGAAGGCAUCGUCUCAGCUAGGUCUGCAGAUGAGGUCAGGAAGUGCCUGAGAAGAGAUCCGUGUGGAUUAAUACCCAGGGCUCGGUUUCUGCAGGAAACAGGAGGCAAAGGCUGUGGAAGAAACGAAGCUGCCGUGAACGUGCUCUGGGCGUCUGAGAAGAUGCAGUGCGGCCUGAACUUCCAUUCGCUUUGGUUGCAGCUGGGCUUGGGGACACUUCUACAAUCAGAAGCAGCUGUCUUCUCUCAUGUAACCAUUAGGCUGAGUUCCACAGGCUCACGGCGGGAAUCUCGGAGCCUGACAGUCCCUGCCUAAGCGGCCUCACUUUCCAGCAUAGAGUAAAUCACGUGGCUUCACAGCAACUAUUUACAUUUGUUAGGGGCUUUGCUGGUUUGGCCCCACAGUGAGACUCCGUGAGGCCAUGUGGGCAGUGCAGUGGGGCCGCCCACAGACAGUGAUGCUCCUCCUAAAACCUAGGACCAUCUUGAUAGCUCGGUCCCUUGGCCAUCCCUGCCAGUUCCUCCUGGGGAUGUAGGUACAAUUUUCCAGGGUGCCUUGGGAAAUGUACCCCCAUUUGCCUUUGAAAUUUGUAGCAGCUGCACCCAGAGGCCAGCCUGGUGGGUGAGGUGGUGCAGAGUGACAGUGGGGGUGGCAGGAGGGGAGGAAAGGAAGUGCACCCCAGCCCUUGCCGUUUCCCAGGCACUGGGCUGGCUUUCCCCAAAUCAGGAAGUGAUGCUUUCCCUGCAACCCGAGUUCUGAUGACAAAAGAGUAAAACUCCCUAUAAAUCAUGCAGGGGGCUUUUUCUUACACUCCUGUUCAAUAAGUUGAUGAUGGGUUUUUUUUUUCCCCCAAUUUAAAAAUAAACCACGUGUAUUAUAGAA